AGGGUUUGAUUAUGGCUCAGAACGUACGCUGGCGGCACGCCUAACACAUGCAAGUCGAACGCAGUAGCAAUACUGAGUGGCAAACGGGUGAGUAUAAUGUGGGAAUCUGCCUUUUGGUUUGGAAUAACACGGGGAAACUUGUGCUAAUACCGGAUAAGCCCUUACGGGGAAAGUUUUAACGCCGAAAGAUGAGCCUGCACUUGAUUAGCUAGUUGGUAAGGUAAAGGCUUACCAAGGCAACGAUCAAUAGCUGUUCUUAGAGGAAGACCAGCCACAUUGGGACUGAGACACGGCCCAGACUCCUACGGGAGGCAGCAGUGGGGAAUCUUGCACAAUGGGGGAAACCCUGAUGCAGCGAUGCCGCGUGAGUGAAGAAGGCCUUUGGGUUGUAAAACUCUUUCGUCGGGGAAGAAAAUGACUGUACCCGAAUAAGAAGGUCCGGCUAACUUCGUGCCAGCAGCCGCGGUAAUAC
rnacentral:rRNA from 1 species